UGGCUAACUCCUACGGGAGGCAGCAGUGGGGAAUAUUGGACAAUGGGCGAAAGCCUGAUCCAGCCAUGCCGCGUGUGUGAAGAAGGUCUUCGGAUUGUAAAGCACUUUAAGUUGGGAGGAAGGGCAUUAACCUAAUACGUUGGUGUCUUGACGUUACCGACAGAAUAAGCACCGGCUAACUCUGUGCCAGCAGCCGCGGUAAUACAGAGGGUGCAAGCGUUAAUCGGAAUUACUGGGCGUAAAGCGCGCGUAGGUGGUUUGUUAAGUUGAAUGUGCAAUCCCCGGGCUCAACCUGGGAACUGCAUCCAAAACUGGCAAGCGAGAGUAUGGUAGAGGGUAGUGGAAUUUCCUGUGUAGCGGUGAAAUGCGUAUAUAUAGGAAGGAACGCCAGUGGCGAAGGCGACUACCUGGACUGAGACUGACACUGAGGUGCGAAAGCGUGGGGAGCAAACAGGAUUAGAUACCCCUGUAGUCCAGCUGG
rnacentral:rRNA from 1 species